CGGCCCCUAUUUGUUGGUUCUAGGACAGCGUAAUGAUUAAUAGGGACAGUUGGGGGCAUCCNGUAUUCAGUUGUCAGAGAUGAAAUUCUUGUGAUUNACUNGAAGACGAACUACUGCGAAAGCAUUUGCCAAAGAUGUUUUCAUUAAUCAGGGCAACGAAAGUUAGGGGAUCGAAGACGAUCANAUACCGUCGUANUCUUAACCAUAAACCAUGCCGACUAGGGAUCGGGCGAUGUUAUUGUAUUGACUCGCUCGGCACCUUUCGAGAAAUCAAAGUGUUUGGGUUCUGGGGGGAGUAUGGUCGCAAGGCUGANACUUAAAGAAAUUGACGGAAGGGCACCACCAGGAGUGGANCCUGCGGCUNAAUNUGACUCANCACGGGGAAACUCACCAGGUCCAGAUACACGUAGGAUUGACAGAUUGAGAGCUCUNUCUUGAUNGUGUAGUUGGUGGUGCAUGGCCGUUCUUAGUUGGUGGAGUGAUUUGUCUGCUUAAUCGCGAUAACGAACGAGACCUUCAUCGUUAACUAGCCCGGCUCGCCUUGGCGGGUCGCCGGCUUCUNAACGAGACUUUUGGCUUANGCCAGAGGAAGUUGGAGGCANUAACAGGUCUGUGAUGCCCUUAUAUGUUCUGGGCUGCACGCGCGCUANACUGACAGAGGCAACGAGUUUUGUUCCUUGGCCGGAAGGCCUGGGUAAUCUCNGUNAACUCUGUCGUGCUGGGGAUAGANCAUNGCANUA
rnacentral:rRNA from 1 species